AACAAUAAGUCCAACACAACAAUAAAUCCAACAUAAUAUCAAUAGAGCAUCAAUACCAUAUCAUCACAACAAAAUAUCAAAAAAUAGAGUAAGUUUUACAAUAAUAUAAUCACAAUAAUAUAGAAAGUUCUGUUUAAUUUAAAAUUUACAAAAAUGUAAUAUCAUAUUCUCCUCCUGGUCCCUCGACCACGUCUACCUAUACGUCCCCUACCUCGACCGCGACCACGAUCAACACCAUGCUCAUCGAAGGGCUCUAUGACUUCCAACUGGUCGAGACUCGAGAUGUUCGAUAGCAGCACCUUCAACAACUGGCUGAGUGUCCUGCGUCUCGAUCACCUGUCUAAUCUCAUACUCAACCAUAGCAGCUGUCGGUAGUAUGUCUGGCCGUGGUGGAGCUCUAUAAGUCUUUAUUUUAAAAAAUGAACUACCUUUCAGUUGAGAGGCAUGUAAUCUCCAUGGGCAAGAAUUGACUACAUAUCUCAUAAUAUAUCUAAUUGUAUUGGACUUAACAACUUUAAAUUGCACAUUAUGUGCGAUGUACCAAGCUUCCAAAAUGUUCACCAAGGAUGAUUUAUCAGAAAAUGUUCGAUUAGCCCAUACCUCAUCACUUAGAGGACUCUGAUCAAUAGUUUGUUCACUAUAUGCAUCAACAACGGUUUGAUGAAUUAAUUCAUUACCUAGGAGAAACCGUUGUCGUUGAUCUUCAAAUUCUUCGAAUUCCACCGAGUUCUGCACAUCAUCGUUGUUGAUAUUUGAAUUUUUAAUCCAUUCAACACCUUCAUCUUGAAUGGCGCAUGUGAGUGUAUUCAAACCACCGUCAUGAGUAGGAUCCAAAGAAUGCGGAACAAAGGAUUCCUCAUCAUCACUAGAAUCAGUAUCAAUUCGCCUUUAAUCUUCUUCAUCACUUUCAAUAACAUACUCCUCAUCACUUCCAAUUACGUCCUCAUUAUCAAUUGCAGUUCUCACUUUCCAAUCGGUCCAUUCACAAACACUAGAUGAUGAACCCUCACUUUAAUUAUGAGGGAUAGUAAACCUAGAAAGAUAUUUAAGAUUAAGUAUUCGCAUUGGUCCAAUUUUUAUAUAACUCAAUCAUACAAUUACCUACCGCUCAUUUUGACCAACCAACAGAGACGGAUCCAUUAUACUAGAUGGCAAUGAUGCACUAACUGGUACACAUGGAACUCCAAACUCUCUAUAACACUUACAAGACAAAGUUAUUAAUUUCGCCCACCUAAGCUAAUUGAGGAAUUAUAAAAAAUAUUUAUAAAAAUUAUUACUCUAUACCUUGAUGUAGGAACUCAUUUACGAUUGACGUAAUUCCUUUGAUAAUCACUACAGCGCAUUUCCGUAUAAUUAACGGUGCUUGGACGGUCUUGUGUAGUCGACACAUGUUUUUCUAUGAAUAAUUUUAUACAUCCAUAGAACGAAAAAAAACCCAUCACGCCAGAUAAUACAUUGUCACUUGAUAUGUUAACUAAUUCCCAUCCGUUGGCUCACAUUGGACAUCUAACCAUUAUGUGGAGACAGUCUUCCACUCGAUCAUAGUUGGUAACAUUGUAUAUUUCCAUCUCAAAUUUUCGAAAUGUGUAUCACAUUGAAUAACAACCAAUUCUUUACGGCCGCCAAUAUAUCGUGGUACAUUAUUAUUCACGACUAAAUUUUCAUCCCAAUAGAUAUAAAAAAAAAACACAUUCGCCGGACAUAGAGUUCUAAAGUUAAAUAAUAAAAUGUACAAAAGUAUUAUACUCAUAACAAAUUAAUAUAGCACAUCUCUAACAUACAACAAAAGAGAGGGUGAGAGAUGAAAUUACCAUUUUGCGAAAACGAUUUAUACGAUUUUUAUGCCGAUUAAGAGCUCUGGAGGAAAAGGGGUGAUGACAGAGAGAGAAAGUAAUCUGUGAGAGAGACAGAGAGAGAAUGAUCUGUGUGUAAGAGAGAGAGCGGGUGAUAUGUGAGAGAGAAAGAGGAGGUUCUGUGGGGAGAAGGGGGAAAGAGGGGGGUGGGAGGGGGGGGUUGGGGGGAGGUAACUCGAAAUCACCAACCUAUAUCAGCUUGGGUUCGGAAGAGAGUGAGAGGAAGAGAAAGGGUGAGAGUGAGAGAUUUUUACCUCCGUCAGAAAAAAGGGGGUGCAUGCGCAGUGAGAGAGUAAGAAGAAGAGAGAGAGAGAGAGAGGUGGGGUUCUAGUGUUAGAGAGAGAAAGAGGGUAGGUUGAUAGCUAGG
rnacentral:lncRNA from 1 species